rnacentral:rRNA from 1 species
AAGAGUUUGAUCCUGGCUCAGGAUGAACGCUAGCUACAGGCUUAACACAUGCAAGUCGAGGGGCAUCAGGAAGAAAGCUUGCUUUCUUUGCUGGCGACCGGCGCACGGGUGAGUAACACGUAUCCAACCUGCCCUUUACUCGGGGAUAGCCUUUCGAAAGAAAGAUUAAUACCCGAUAGUAUAAUCAUUCCGCAUGGUUUGAUUAUUAAAGGAUUCCGGUAAAGGAUGGGGAUGCGUUCCAUUAGGUUGUUGGUGAGGUAACGGCCCACCAAGCCUUCGAUGGAUAGGGGUUCUGAGAGGAAGGUCCCCCACAUUGGAACUGAGACACGGUCCAAACUCCUACGGGAGGCAGCAGUGAGGAAUAUUGGUCAAUGGGCGCGAGCCUGAACCAGCCAAGUAGCGUGAAGGAUGACUGCCCUAUGGGUUGUAAACUUCUUUUAUAUUAGAAUAAAGUGCAGUAUGUAUACUGUUUUGUAUGUAUAAUAUGAAUAA